rnacentral:rRNA from 1 species
GAUGAACGCUGGCGGCGUGCCUAAUACAUGCAAGUCGAGCGAACAGACGAGGUGCUUGCUCUUCUGACGUUAGCGGCGGACGGGUGAGUAGCACGUGGCUAACCUACCUAUAAGACUGGGAUAACUUCGAGAAACCGGAGUUACUACCGGGUAAUAUUUUUACCCGCAUGGUUCAGUAGUGUAAGACGGUUUUGCUGUCACUUAUAGAUGGAUCCGCGCCGCAUUAGCUAGUUGGUAUGGUAACGGCUUACCAAGGCAACGGUGCGUAACCGACCUGAGAGGGUGAUCGGCCACACAGGGACUGAGACACGGUCCAGACUCCUACGGGAGGCAGCAGUAGGGAAGCGUCCGCGAUGUGCGAAAGCCUGACGGAGCAGCGCCGCGUGGGUGAUGAAGGUCUGCGUAUCGUAUGACUCUGUUAUUGUGGUAGAACAAAUGUGUAAGUAACGAUGCACGUCUUGACGGUAGCUAAUCAGAAAGCCACGGCUAACUACGUG